rnacentral:ncRNA from 1 species
AACGAUAAAGCCAAACCCACCGUAAGGUGGGGGCGGAAAGCCACGGGUCCUAAUUAUUUAUUUAGAAAAGGACAGCCGGGUUGCCGAAA